rnacentral:rRNA from 1 species
CCUACGGGAGGCUGCAGUGAGGAAUAUUGGUCAAUGGGCGCGAGCCUGAACCAGCCAAGCCGCGUGAGGGAAGAAGGUACAGCGUAUCGUAAACCUCUUUUGUCAGGGAACAAAGGCGGGGACUAGUCCCCGGAUGAGGGUACCUGAAGAAAAAGCAUCGGCUAACUCCGUGCCACCAGCCGCGGUAAUACGGAGGAUGCGAGCGUUAUCCGGAGUUAUUGGGUUUAAGGGGUGCGCAGGCGGCCUGGUAAGUCAGCGGGAAAAGCCCGGGGCUCAACCCCGGCUAGCCGUUGAAACUGGCGGGCUGGAGUUGGCGAGAAGUACGCGGAAUGCGCGGUGUAGCGGUGAAAUGCUUAGAUAUCGCGCAGAACCCCGAUUGCGAAGGCAGCGUACCGGCUCCACACUGACGCUGAGGCACGAAAGCGUGGGUAUCGAACAGGAUUAGAUACCCGGGUAGUC